rnacentral:lncRNA from 1 species
GUCGCGUGAUUUUCACUGAUUCAAGGCGCGUAAACAUCAAAAUUUCGUCUGAUGUGGCGUCCCCAACGGUAAUAUUACUCCAAAUCAUCUAUUUAUAUUAUUUUUUUCUCCAAUUGUACCUUAACUAAGACCCCAAUUUCUCUCUUCUUUUCCAAGUUCUCUCUUCUUCAGCCUUUCUUUAAUUCUUGGCCCUUAAUACUUUCAUGUCGAGCUUCUCCAAUUCUUCCAUGGCAUCUGUGGAUGAGGUCGAUAUUGUAGGUGUGGUAAUGAAGCACUAUUAAAGACUUCAUGGACCCAAUUAAAUCCAG